rnacentral:rRNA from 1 species
AGCGAACGCUGGCGGCAUGCCUAACACAUGCAAGUCGCACGGGGGGGCUUCGGCCUCCCAGUGGCGGACGGGUGAGGAACGCGUAGGGACCUGUCGAGGGGUGGGGGAUAACCGCGGGAAACUGCGGCUAAUACCGCAUGACGCCGCGGCGUGACAGCCGGGGCCAAAGGCGAAAGCCGCCCGCCGAGGGGCCUGCGUCCGAUUAGCUGGUUGGCGGGGUAGCGGCCCACCAAGGCGUCGAUCGGUAGCUGGUCUGAGAGGGUGAUCAGCCACACCGGGACUGAGACACGGCCCGGACUCCUACGGGAGGCAGCGGUGGGGAGUAUUGGGCAAUGGGCGCAAGCCUGAUCCAGCCAUGCCGCGUGGGUGAAGAAGGUCUUCGGAUUGUAAAGCCCUUUCGGCGGGGACGAUGGUGACGGUACCCGCAGAAGAAGCCCCGGCUAACUUCGUG